UUCAGGGGCCUGACAAAGUCCCUUUUUAGCCGAACUCAGCAAAUUAAUGGCGGACGAUUUGCAGAAAAAUUCUGCUAUCAUUCAACAACGCCAUCUCUUGGUGAACACUCAUAAUUUGUUACAUAACCUCAAACUUUGUUUAUAUUUACUAUUUUUUCUCAAGAUCCCAUAUAAUGGGAUAUUUCUUGAUUUUAGUUAGUUAUUUCGGUUAUAAAUGUAAUAAAACUAGUGAUAAAGUGUUAUUUAGUGACAAAUGAUUAAUAAUAGAUUUAAUUUGCGACAUCAGCCUGAUUUUACUCAGAAAAGGAAACAGAGUAUUGCAUGAAGGAUCAAGUGAAUCUAAUCGUCAAUAACUACAAAAAAAAAUAAAAAGUUCUCAAUGUCUGCAGGCAGAGACAUUGCAACAUAUAAAUUCUGCGGGUACAAACAAAUCAUGUACAAGAGAAAGGAAACGACCAUAAAUAAGGAUCUCUGCUGAAUUAAGUUCUAGAGGUCAACAGAAGUUAUUUAAAUAUCCAUUUCUUCAGACAUGAAUCUCUUCCGGACGUCGAUAUGUAGAGAAAAAAAAUCACGAGAAAGGGGCGUCAGAGGAUACAAAUAAUGUCUAAUUAGUUAGACAAAAAUUACAACGACGAAUUAGCACUGCAGGAAAUUAGAAAUGCUAUCCUCAACAUGUUUGAGCUUAUCCCGAUUUAAUGGAGAAACAAGGUACAUCAAUACAUUAUCCAGGAAAGCACUAAUUGGGUGGAAUCUUAAACCUUAAGGAUUGAUGGGACGUUGCAUAUUGAUGUUGCAAAAAAAAAGAUGAACAGAAAUGAGCAUAUUUAAAACACAAAAACUUAUGCUGUUCGUCUUUGAAGGAUGUUCUACAGUACAUAUAUUAUGGAAUGGAGGCUUAUCAAUCAUCACAACGUAAUAUUAUCUGGAACUUCCACUUUCCUAUCAGCUGUAUCAGAUGACAAGACGAAGAUUCUUAAAGAUUUUUAGACAACGUAGAUUUAUCCCAGAUGUGGUGGUAUCUAAAACAAUAAUUAAACCAAACGAUGUUUUAUUUUAUAGAACAAAAAGUGCUAGUAAAAUAUUAUUAAUGAAAAUUUGUUACUUUCAUUUUUCUCCAUUAUGUUUACGGUAAUGUAAGAUUACGGUCCCCCAAACUUUCCGAGGCUUAAGC